rnacentral:rRNA from 1 species
UAGUCCACGCCCUAAACGAUGCUUACUCGGUGUUUGGGCUAUAAGUUUGAGCACCUAAGGGAAACCAAUAAGUAAGCCACCUGGGGAGUACGUUCGCAAGAAUGAAACUCAAAGGAAUUGACGGGGGCCCGCACAAGCGGUGGAGCAUGCGGUUUAAUUCGAAGCAACGCGCAGAACCUUACCUACUCUUGACAUCCAGAGAAGCUUGAAGAGAUUCGAGUGUGCCUUCGGGAACUCUGAGACAGGUGCUGCAUGGCUGUCGUCAGCUCGUGUUGUGAAAUGUUGGGUUAAGUCCCGCAACGAGCGCAACCCUUAUCCUUGUUUGCCAGCACGUAAUGGUGGGAACUCCAGGGAGACUGCCGGUGAUAAACCGGAGGAAGGUGGGGACGACGUCAAGUCAUCAUGGCCCUUACGAGUAGGGGCUACACACGUGCUACAAUGGCGUAUACAGA